rnacentral:rRNA from 1 species
AAUGGGCGAAAGCCUGAUCCAGCCAUGCCGCGUGAGUGAUGAAGGCCCUAGGGUUGUAAAGCUCUUUCAGCGGGGAAGAUAAUGACGGUACCCGCAGAAGAAGCCCCGGCUAACUUCGUGCCAGCAGCCGCGGUAAUACGAAGGGGGCUAGCGUUGUUCGGAAUCACUGGGCGUAAAGCGCGUGUAGGCGGAUCGUUAAGUCGGGGGUGAAAUCCUGAGGCUCAACCUCAGAACUGCCUUCGAUACUGGCGAUCUUGGAGUCCGGGAGAGGUGAGUGGAACUCCUAGUGUAGAGGUGAAAUUCGUAGAUAUUAGGAAGAACACCAGUGGCGAAGGCGGCUCACUGGCCCGGUACUGACGCUGAUAUGCGAAAGCGUGGGGAGCAAA